rnacentral:lncRNA from 1 species
CUGAUGUCCCCUGUGCCCGAGAAACAUGAUCCAGAGAUGUCCUUCAUGGAUUAAGUCAUUGAAGAUGACUUACACAAACAGUUUUAAAGCUUCAAAAUUUAUUGCUGUACAUUUUCUCAUAGCAUUUACUAUGGAAAUACUAAUAGUGCAAAUAUUUAUUUUGGACUUCAUAGCAUUUGAGAAAUCACAAAGCUUGUUUAUAUCUUUGCAAUUAUUUAUGAAGAUCUAUAUUAUUUUAAAAAUCCAAACGAGUAAUCUUAUAUUCAAAGAGAUUGUAUAACACUCUCUAGAUCUCCUCUUUAGACCAAAAAAAAAAAAAAAAACACCCUGGAAGCCACCAAGGGCAUUUCUUUCCUUUAUAAUACAUACAGCUUCUAACACUUUUCCAACUGCAUGACUCUUGUUCAUUCACAGAUUCAUUCAACAAAUAUUUAAUGACAAGCUAUUACGUGCCAGGCACUGGGCUAGGCUCGGGGAACAUGAGGAUGAAAAAGCACAAUCUCUGCUUUUACGGUGCUUACAGUCUAAUAGUAGAAACAGACAUGCAAAAAAAAAUUACAAUACAAUACAAUAAAGUGCUUCCAUGGAGGUAUUUACAAAGUGCGGUGGGAACAGGGAAGGCGGGAAAGAACAUCUGCCUGAAGAAAUCAGGGACAGCUUCACAGAGGAGGUAGCCAUUGAGCUGAGACUUCAUCAAUGAUUAGGAAUUCACCAUGUAGACGGUCCAGAGGACAGGAAAGGCAGUUCAUAUGAAGG